rnacentral:tRNA from 1 species
GAAAAAUUAGUUUAUAAAAAAUAUUAUAUUUGCGUUAUGAAGAAUUAAAAAUAAAUUUUUUA